UGAAACCAAGAAGGUGCAGGAAGCUGCAGAGGAACUUCUAAGACAGAGGCUGGGGAUGUGGGGAGACUUCCCGCUCCCUCUGGAGCCACGGUGUGGGCGAGGGGACUUCCCUCUCCCUCUGGACCUAGGCUUUCUCUUGCUUCUUUUAGGUUUUAAGCUGAGUUUGGUAACAAAAGGGAAAGAUGAGCCUCACUCUGGACAACACAAGGAGAAAGUAAUAGCUACAAGGCACGGAGGAGAGCUCUGUGUAGGAAUCCCCUAGAGUGAGUAACAGGAUUGGCCUUCUCUCUAAAGGGCAUGAGGAAGUAGGUCAGAUAUAAAGAACGUUCACAGUCUGUCACUGCAGCAGCAGGCUGGGGGGCUGCUGGUCAAGGUCUGCUCUUAGACUAGCUUAGUGGGACAGUAUUUGCUCAAGUUCAUUUCCUUAAUCAAGCAGGAAAUAAAGAAAAGAAAAGAAAAGAAAAGAAAAAGAAAAG